rnacentral:rRNA from 1 species
UACGAGUGCCCUAAGCGUUAUCCGGAAUCAUUGGGCGUAAAGGGUGUGUAGGUGGUUAUGUUAGUCUUGUGUUAAAUUCUUCGGCUCAACCGGGGGUCUGCGCGAGAAACGGCAUAACUAGAGGACAGGAGAGGUGUGCGGAACUCAUAGUGUAGGGGUGAAAUCCGUUGAUAUUAUGGGGAACACCAAAUGCGAAGGCAGCACACUGGCCUGCUUCCUGACACUGAAACACGAAAGCGUGGGUAGCGAAUGGG